AACGAACGCUGGCGGCAUGCCUAACACAUGCAAGUCGAACGAGACCUUCGGGCCUAGUGGCGCACGGGUGCGUAACGCGUGGGAACCUGCCCUUAGGUUCGGAACAACUCCCCGAAAGGGGUGCUAAUACCGGAUAAUGUCUUCGGACCAAAGAUUUAUCGCCUUUGGAUGGGCCCGCGUUGGAUUAGCUAGUUGGUAGGGUAAAAGCCUACCAAGGCGACGAUCCAUAGCUGGUCUGAGAGGAUGAUCAGCCACACUGGGACUGAGACACGGCCCAGACUCGUACGGGAGGCAGCGGUGGGGAAUAUUGGACAAUGGGCGAGAGCCUGAUCCAGCAGUGCCGCGUGAGUGAUGAAGGCCUUAGGGUUGUAAAGCUCUUUUACCCGGGAUGAUAAUGACGGUACCGGGAGAAUAAGCUCCGGCUAACUCCGUG
rnacentral:rRNA from 1 species